rnacentral:rRNA from 1 species
UAGGGAAUCUUCCGCAAUGGGCGAAAGCCUGACGGAGCAACGCCGCGUGAGUGAUGAAGGUCUUCGGAUCGUAAAACUCUGUUCUUAGGGAAGAACAAAUGUGUAAGUAACUAUGCACGUCUUGACGGUACCUAAUCAGAAAGCCACGGCUAACUACGUGCCAGCAGCCGCGGUUAUACGUAGGUGGCAAGCGUUAUCCGGCAUUAUUGGGCGUAAAGCUCGCGUAGGCGGUUUUUUAAGUCCGAUGUGAAAUCCCACGGCUCAACCGGGGAGGGUCAUUGGAAACUGGAAAACUUGAGUGCAGAAGAGGAAAGUGGAAUUCAAUGUGUAGCGGUAAAAUGCGCAGAUAUAUGGAGGAACCCCAGUGGCGAAGGCGACUUUCUGGUCUGUAACUGACGCUGAUGUGCGAAAGCGUGGGGAUCAAACAGG